rnacentral:lncRNA from 8 species
AUUUGCAUAUUCCUCCUAUUCCUUUGCAGCCUUUUGAUUUGUCUCCCGAGUGACAGACUGGCUUUUUCUCCCAUGUUUACAAUCAGUUGAAUUCUGUGCCUACCAAUAUUUGUACCAUGCUAUGCUGCUGCCAUGUUGUGUUGCUGCCAUGUUGUGUUGCUACCAUGUUGUGUUUCUGCCAUGUUGUGUUGCUGCCAUGUUGUGUUGCUACCAUGUUGUGUUUCUGCCCUGUUGUGUUUCUACCAUGUUGUGUUUCUACCAUUUUGUCCUUCUACCAUGCUGUGUUGUUGUCAUGUUGUGUUUCUACCAUGUUGUACUGCUACCAUGUUAUGUUUCUACCAUGUUGUUCUACUACCAUGCUGUGUUGUUGUCAUGUUGUGUUUCUACCAUGUUGUGCUGCUACCAUGCUGUGUUGUUGUCAUGUUGUGCUGCUACCAUGUUGUGUUUCUACCAUGUUGUUCUACUACCAUACUGUGUUGUUGUCAUGUUGUGUUUCUACCAUGUUGUGCUGCUACCAUGCUGUGUUGUUGUCAUGUUGUGCUGCUACCAUGUUGUGUUUCUACCAUGUUGUUCUACUACCAUACUGUGUUGUUGUCAUGUUGUGUUUCUACCAUGUUGUGCUGCUACCAUGCUGUGUUGUUGUCAUGUUGUGCUGCUACCAUGUUGUCCUUCUACCAUGCUGUGUUGUUGUCAUGUUGUGCUGCUACCAUGUUGUACUGCUGCCAUGUUGUUCUACUACCAUGCUGUGUUGUUGUCAUGUUGUGUUGUUGUUAUGUUGUAUUGAUAUCAUGUUGUGUGUCAUGUUGUCUUGCUGCCAUGUUGUGUUGCUAUCAUGUUGUGUUGUUGUGUUGUGCUGUCAUGUUGCCAUGUUGUCAUGUUGCCAUGUUGUCAUGUUGCCAUGUUGUGUUGCUGCCAUGUUGUGUUGUCAUGUUGUGAUGCUACCAUGUUGUGAUGUCAUGUUGUGUUGUCAUGUUGUGUUGCUGCCAUGUUGUGUUGUCAUGUUGUGUGUCAUGUUCUCAUGUUGUGUUGUCAUGUUUUCAUGUUGGGUUGUGUUGUCAU